GAUGAACGCUGGCGGCGUGCCUAAUACAUGCAAGUCGAGCGAAUGGAUUGAGAGCUUGCUCUCAAGAAGUUAGCGGCGGACGGGUGAGUAACACGUGGGUAACCUGCCCGUAAGACUGGGAUAACUCCGGGAAACCGGGGCUAAUACCGGAUAACAUUUUGAACCGCAUGGUUCGAAAUUGAAAGGCGGCUUCGGCUGUCACUUAUGGAUGGACCCGCGUCGCAUUAGCUAGUUGGUGAGGUAACGGCUCACCAAGGCAACGAUGCGUAGCCGACCUGAGAGGGUGAUCGGCCACACUGGGACUGAGACACGGCCCAGACUCCUACGGGAGGCAGCAGUAGGGAAUCUUCCGCAAUGGACGAAAGUCUGACGGAGCAACGCCGCGUGAGUGAUGAAGGCUUUCGGGUCGUAAAACUCUGUUGUUAGGGAAGAACAAGUGCUAGUUGAAUAAGCUGGCACCUUGACGGUACCUAACCAGAAAGCCACGGCUAACUACGUGCC
rnacentral:rRNA from 1 species